GCAAAGCACUUUUGUAAGUCGCUCUGGAUAAGAGCAUCUGCUAAAUGCCUUAAA
rfam:Astyanax mexicanus chromosome 25, whole genome shotgun sequence.